rnacentral:rRNA from 1 species
UACGUAGGGCGCAAGCGUUGUCCGGAAUUAUUGGGCGUAAAGGGCGCGUAGGCGGGAUGGCAAGUCGGUCGUGAAAUCCCUCGGCUCAACCGAGGAACGUCGAUCGAUACUGCUGUUCUUGAGGAUUGCAGAGGAGACUGGAAUUCCCGGUGUAGCGGUGAAAUGUGUAGAGAUCGGGAGGAACACCGGUGGCGAAGGCGGGUCUCUGGGCAAUUCCUGACGCUGAGGCGCGAAAGCGUGGGGAGCAAACGGG